rnacentral:tRNA from 1 species
GCUGGAUUCGCUCAGUUGGCAGAGAGAUACCUUGCCAAGGUAUAGAUCGAGAGUUCGAGGCUCUUAUUCCGCUCCA